rnacentral:rRNA from 1 species
CAAUAGCGUAUAUUAAAGUUGUUGCGGUAAAAAAGCUCGUAGUUGGAUUUCUGUUGAGAGCGACCGGUCCAUACCAUGUAUGCGUAUCUGGCUUGCUCUCGGCAUCCUCUCGAUAGACGUUACUGCGCUUGAUUGCGUGGUGCGGAUCUCGGGACUUUUACUUUGAGGAAAUUAGAGUGUUCACGGCAGGCUUUCGCCAGAAUACAUUAGCAUGGAAUAAUACUAUAGGAUCUUGGUUCUAUUUUGUUGGUUUCUAGAAUUGAGAUAAUGAUUAAUAGGGACAAUUGGGGACAUUCGUAUCAACACGUCAGAGGUGGAAUUCUUGGAUUGUGUUGCGACGAACUACUGCGAAAGCAUUUGCCAAGGAUGUUUUCACUGA